rnacentral:lncRNA from 1 species
GAUAAGAAGAGAAAAAGAGAAGAAGAUGAAGAAACCCAGCUUGAUAUGUUGGAAUCUGGUGGACAGUAACAAACUUUGGUGAAAUUUCAGGAACCAUAGCCAUUGAAAUGGAUGAGGGAACCUAUAUACAUGCACUCAACAAUGGUCUUUUUACCCUGGGAGCUCCACACAAAGAAGAAUCACCCUGAAAUCUGGCUAUGGAAAAUAUCUUGGUAUAAAUUCAGAUGAACUUGUUGUUGGGCAUUCAGAUGCAAUUGGACCAAGAGAACAA